ensembl:lncRNA
CUUUGUUUUUAUUUAUUUUUAUUGCAUAUAUGACAUUUUUACCAGAAUUCCUUACCACCCCCCCAAAACGUGUUAUUAAUUAAACACACUUUAAGAAGUUGCAAUAAAGGAAGAACCAUGCACAGUAGCGAUCAUUUUCAUUGACCUUCUAUUACUGAUUCAAUUUAGAAAUGGUAUUUGCAUACCAAAUUAACCAGUAUAAGAUAUUAACACAAGUUUGUUUAUUUUUCUUCAAACUUUGCCCAUUGUUGCUGUCACAAAUUUUGUAAUGUCCAAUUAGCAAAACAUCUGGCAGGUUCGAAAAGGUUUGAAGAUCAAGAAACGUAUGUUCCUUUUCCAAGCUGUUCUGGUCUUUCAACACACAGCCAGCCCAAAUUUGAAUUAUUCGUCAGAACCUACUGUAUGGGUCCAAAUGAAAGUGCAUUCUCCCGCCAGAAAACACAAUUGACCAAGCUAUAACUCAGUUGGUAGACAAUGGUGCAUGAAACUGAUGCAAUGAUGAGGCCACUAUGGAUGUCUGUCGUGUCCAGUUUUUUGGUUGCAAUUGUUUCAGUUUGGACAUCAAAGAUUCCCCAUCUCUAGCAUUUUGCUGUUUUUUUAUGUUGCCAGAGCACUGUACAUUCCUGCAACAAUAUUUUAUCUUUCAAACCCAUACUGCAAAUUCCUUCAUAUACAGUUUUAGCUGUUUCGUAAUGACUGUUCAGUCAUUUUCUCCAUAAUGUUUUCUGACAGACUACUCAACAUUAUGGACAUGCUGAAGAGGGAUGCAUUCCCAUCACCUGUUGAUAUUUUGGGGGGUUUUGCUUAAGGCACUUUCAUUGAUAUUUUGGUAAAUCAAAAGGUAGGACUUUUUUAGUCUUAGAAAUAGAGAAAACACCAAAUUAUAUCAGUGUAUUUGAAUGUAAUAGUAGAAAAACAUAACAUUUUCUCAAUAAAUAAUCAUGUUUAAAAAAAUUAUAAUGAAAUAGCUUUCGGUUAAAUCAUGAUGUUUAGAUGUAACUGUUUGAGAAUGCCACUGAGAACCAGUAAUGGGUGUAUCAACAAUGAUUUUGUACUCAACAAAUGUAAGUAUAUUUUUGUUAAUGCAUUUGAUUGAGUUAUAACAUAUCAUGAUUAAUUGUCCUGAAUGUCCUGAAAAUACUUAAACGACAGUAAUCUACACCACUUCUGUAGAAUUACCCAUAUCUCUAAAAAAUUAUUACAAUGAAUGACCACAUGGAUCAAAAAGAUUCAGAUAAGCCAUGGAGUAGGCUACCAUAGUACAAACUUUCACUAAUAGAAACCUUUGUUUUUCAUUGUUUUUGUUUAUUUACCUUUUUAAUGCAUCAGCCUGUUUAUAUCUAAUUUGUUUCCUGCAGACCUUAUUUCAUAUUUGGUACCUACCGCUGUCCUAUUUCUGGGGGCUUUUGUUUGGCCUAAUCUUCAUGUGGGGUUGAGGUUGGAAAUUAAAUGAUGUUGCACUAGAAAACUGAGUGAAACUCAGAGAAUGUCAUAGCUAAACUAAAGAGUGACCUCUUUUUGUGAUGGCUGAAGAAAUACUGUCCCUUAAUAUGUAUGUAACGUAAUAUGUUCUAAUUUACCAUGUUUACGUUAGUGUAGCACUUCACUAUUUAUAGAUAUAGAGUCUACAAGAAAUUAGCACUAAUUUGGCAAUGUAUUUUAGUCCAAUGUGUUAAAACUACAUUGUAUUGUAUGAAAUCAAUUUGCAGAUGGGAUUGUUGGAUUGUAGUGAGUGGGUGCUGUGGUCCCACCAUUUUGGACAAUGUGCUCUGCAGGGUCUGCACACAGUAGCCUUACACUGAGCUGUUAAAUUUUCCUCAACUAACUGCUUUGUGUCCAGAUCAGAUCCUCAGUUCCGACACUAACCAUUUAAUUUGAACUAUAUCUCAAUUUGUCUAGUGUGGUCCCGAAAGAAUAGGUUCCACAUUAACUAGUUUCUUUCAUACGUUUUUUCUAACAAGGAAAUCCGUAAGCUAUCCUAUUUAGAUGUUGACACGCCGUGGAUUAUAUUCUUUGCAAUGGUGGGCUUUGACAAAGCAGACCAAAGUUGACAUUUUUUAUCUAACAACACAAUGCUUCCUAUUGAACGUUUACAGAUAUUGUAAUACAUUUCAGUAAAGUUGGAGCUGUCAUAAGACUGACAAAUGUAAUAGAUGUGCAUGUGAAUCUUCAGAAUACAGAAAAUCUCUGUAUAAAAAUAGUUAAGUUAUUAUUUGUGUUUGGACAUAAUGAGAGCACCAGAAUUGUCCUAUUAAAUUACUAGUAGGGCAAUGUCAUAAGUUUCAGAAUCUGGUCUAAAUGUCUAGGAAGAAACCCAAACCAGCCUAAUAUAAAUCAAUGACAGUAGAUUUGUAGGUGAUGGAUUUCCUGCUUCUACUUAUGCAGGAAAAUAAAAUUAAUCUAUGUGAUAUCUGAAAUUGUGUAAUAAAAUUAUUGUCAACCUAAAAUAUUGUCAUAUAAUUAUAAUUACUGUUUAUACAGCUUUUAUAAAAUGUUUCUGUAUAAUU